CCCAAUGAGUCAAAAUCUGAGCUCUUCCUCUGCUGCCUCUGCCUCUCCCCAAAAUAUACUUUCCAAUUUCUUUUUCUAACCUUUUCGCGAUUAAUUUAAUCGAUUUAUCAGUGAACAGAGAAAGCAAGAGAGUUGAGAGAGAGAAGGCAAGAGAAGAGAGAGAGAGAGAGAGAGAGAGAGAGAGAGAGGGAGGGAGAUGUGCAACAAGAAGAGUCCUUCUGGUCACGACGAUCAUGUGCAGAGGAGCUCAAUGAUUGAUGAUAUGAUCAAGAAAGAAGAAGACGAUGAAGAAGAAGACGAACUGAUUAAAAAUUUAGCAGCUCGGAAAUUCAGAACAAAAACCAGAAAACCCAAGUUUUUAAGUCUCCGAUCCCAACUCAUCUCCGAAGAUAACGGACAAAGUUACAGAGCACCCAACAAAGUUACAUCAACGAAGGCCAAGACCCACCACCGCCAACGCCGCCGCCGCCGCCCCCAGCUCAACCUUUUUCCGCUGCACCCGGAAAAUCGGGUCGAGAAUGAUUUUGAAGAUAAAGGGUACAUGCAACAGGACGAGAACGUGGCCUUGCUGUUCGAGUCUGACGGCAGCGCCACUCUCAACGGCCUCCUAACCUCCACCGCCACCACGUCGACAAUGUCAUCCGAUCUGGAGGAAGCAGAGUCCUUUUCCUACUACAGGGGACGGGAUGAGUAUAGAGAAGAAACAGAGUGUGACAUUGUGCGGACGGCGAUGAGGAGCAGAGAGAGGGAGACAAGCGUGGAGAAGUGGGUGUGUUUCUCGGAGUUGGUGGAGGAGAAGAGAGAGAAGGACUGCUUGGCUAGCUCGACGACAAGUACUACCGGUACACGAGGCGGAGGUGAUGGUCGGGAUGUUGGUCAUCGACGGUGGAGCUGCGGCGGAAAGGGGCUGUCGUUGGCGUUGAAGCUGGAUUAUGAGGAGAUAUUGAAUGCUUGGUCCGAUAAGGGACCACUGUACAUUGAUGGAGGAGAUUCCCCACAAACUGUACCUGACUUGAUGCAUCAGCAGGAUCAUCAGCUUUUUCAGCUCAAUGAUAACAGCAGUACUCCCGAUCCUGAAAUGCAUGGGACUUGUUCAGGGGUCAGGUGGGAACUUAAGGAGAGUCCCGGAAGAGGACGGCAGCUUAAAAAUGAAGAUGGAGCAAAGACUGGCCAGUGUGUUGAGAUACAAGGAAAAGAGGCUUAACCGGCUCUACUCCAAGCGGAUCCGAUACCAAGUGCGAAAGCUCAAUGCCGAACAACGACCCCGUAUGAAGGGUCGAUUCGUGAAGAGAAAUUGAAUUAACGCGCGUUUUGAACGUCUGGUUUCGAUCUGACCUGCAUAACUUACCAAGAGGAUGGAGAUAGGCAUGGUUUUUGGUGUUUUGAGUUAGAUAUCCAGUGCAUGCGGAUGUUUUCGUUUCCCUAUUCUUUCCUGCUUUGCUUGUCACUCACGUUACUGGGAAGAGGGAAUGAUAAGUCGUAUGCUUCUUGCGUAAAAAUAUAUGCACAAAUCACAUACACAAAAAGAUGAUAUAUAUGAGAAUCAAUCAGACGUUAUUUAACGUGUAAAUAUUGCUGUUUAAUGUAGCUAUGUUUGUGAGAUGGAUAAUUUCUCAAAUA